CAAUGGUCGAGAGCUGGCAUUGCUCUUCUGAUGAGUCCAAGGCAUGACGAAACCAGUG
rnacentral:hammerhead_ribozyme from 1 species